rnacentral:lncRNA from 1 species
UGACACAUCACUAUCAGAUUAAGGAUAAGCACAGUUAAUGAUCUAAAACUACCAUAGCACAUUGCAAAUACAAAUACAUCUCUCACAGAUCACAGUCAGUCUACAUGCAGUACCAUUAUCUAUGUCUCUAUGCUAUAACAAUAAUGGACAGUGCGGAAGAGAGUUAUAAGAGACCAGAGGGAAAUCCUCCGAAUGCAGGAUCCUCGGAUCGAGAUGUUCAUCUGGCAGCAAGGAAGGGAAUGGAUGCAAU